AGAAUCAACGCUGGCGGCGUGCCUAACACAUGCAAGUCGAACGCGAAAGUGGAGCAAUCCAUGAGUAGAGUGGCAAACGGGUGAGUAACGCGUGGGCGACCUGCCUUCGAGUGGGGGAUAACAUUCCGAAAGGGAUGCUAAUACCGCAUAACAUCCUUCGUUUAGAUACGAGGUGAUCAAAGCCGGGAGCAAUUCUGGCGCUUAAAGAGGGGCCCGCGUCCGAUUAGCUAGUUGGUGGGGUAACGGCCUACCAAGGCUUCGAUCGGUA
rnacentral:rRNA from 1 species